rnacentral:rRNA from 1 species
CGCGCAAAUUACCCACUCUCAGAACGAGGAGGUAGUGACGAAAAUAACGAGACAGUUCUCUAUGAGGUCUGUCAUCGGAAUGGGUACAAUUUAAACCCUUUAACGAGGAUCUAUUGGAGGGCAAGUCUGGUGC